rnacentral:rRNA from 1 species
UAGUAACUGCGAGUGAAGCGGGAAAAGCUCAAAUUUUGAAUCUGGCGGUCUUCAUGGCUGUCCGAGUUGUAAUCUAGAGAAGCGUCUUCCGCGCUGGACCGUGUACAAGUCUCCUGGAAGGGAGCGUCAUGGAGGGUGAGAAUCCCGUCUCUGACACGGACUGCCAGUGCUAUGUGAUGCGCUCUCGACGAGUCGAGUUGUUUGGGAAUGCAGCUCAAAACGGGUGGUAAAUUCCAUCUAAAGCUAAAUACAGGCGAGAGACCGAUAGCGAACAAGUACCGUGAGGGAAAGAUGAAAAGAACUUUGGAAAGAGAGUUAAACAGUACGUGAAAUUGCUGAAAGGGAAACGCUUGAUGUCAGUCACGUCCGCCAGGGAUCAACCUUGCUUAUCGUUGGGUGCAUUUCUUGGUUGGAUGGGUCAGCAUCAGUUUCGAUCGUUGUAAAAUGGUCAAGGGAACGUGGCACCUCUAGGGGUGUGUUAUAGCCUUUGGUCGUAUGCAUCGGUGGGGACUGAGGAACUCGGCACGACCUUCAUGGUUUCGUGUCUAGGAUGCUGGCAUAAUGGCCUUAAGCGACCCGUCUUGAAACACGGACCAAGGAGUCUAACAUGCCUGCGAGUGUUUGGGUGGAAAACUCGAGCGCGCAAUGAAAGUGAAAGUCGAGAUCUCUGUCAUGGA